UGGCUCGGUUGGUGGAGCAUGAGAUUAUUGAUCUCAGAGUGGUGAGUUCAAGUCUCAC
rnacentral:tRNA from 1 species